rnacentral:lncRNA from 12 species
GCAGGGGAAGGGCAAGUGUGGGGGCCUCAUCACAGAGAAACCCCUUCUGAGACCCUGAUAGCAUCUGUGACCUUGAGACCAUGUGUUCUCCGUGGCCCUGCAUGCCCUGUUCUCCCACUCCCCAAAGUAGACAAGCAAUGGACUGGUCCAGCUUUAUUCCUGUCUCCUAGCAACCAUCCUUGGAAGAUGGAAAGUGAAUGUUAAGGUCUGGAGAUUGGGCUGGGUCAGAGGGCAGGCAGGAGAGCUGGGAUUGGGUGCUGCUUCUGAGAGA